rnacentral:tRNA from 1 species
GUAGCUCAGUGGUAGAGCGCUUGCCUAAUGUGCACAAGACUCUGGGUUUGAUCCCCAGC